UACGAAGGGGGCUAGCGUUGUUCGGAGUUACUGGGCGUAAAGGGCGCGUAGGCGGCCCUCCAAGUCGGGUGUGAAAGCCCACGGCUCAACCGUGGAAUUGCACUCGAGACUGAAGGGCUCGAGGACGGGAGAGGAUGGUGGAAUUCCCAGUGUAGAGGUGAAAUUCGUAGAUAUUGGGAAGAACACCGGUGGCGAAGGCGGCGAGCUGGCCUGUUACUGACGCUGAGGCGCGACAGCGUGGGGAGCAAACAGG
rnacentral:rRNA from 1 species